CCUCCCUGGCAAUGGUCAAAGGAACACCCUGUUGGUGAUGGUGUUCUGAUAUCAGUCAGGGGCAGAGCAGAUGGCAGUCCUUUGUUCAUCCUAGCUUGAUAUCUGGGUUGGUGGCCAAAGCUGUCUUAUGUCUAAGACUCAUAA